rnacentral:rRNA from 1 species
CCUACGGGGGGCAGCAGUGAGGAAUAUUGGUCAAUGGCCGGAAGGCUGAACCAGCCAAGCCGCGUGAAGGACGAAGGUGCCAAGCAUUGUAAACUUCUUUUGUCAAGGGACAAAAUCAGGCUCGAGAGCCUGACCGAGGGUACUUGAAGAAAAAGCAUCGGCUAACUCCGUGCCAGCAGCCGCGGUAAUACGGAGGAUGCGAGCGUUAUCCGGAUUUAUUGGGUUUAAGGGGUGCGUAGGCGGGCUGUUAAGUCAGCGGUAAAAGCCCGGGGCUCAACCCCGGCGAGCCGUUGAAACUGGCUGGCUUGAGAGGUCGAGAGGUAGGCGGAAUGCGCAGGGUAGCGGUGAAAUGCUUAGAUAUUGCGCAGAACUCCGAUUGCGAAGGCAGCAUACCGGCGGCGAUCUGACGCUGAGGCACGAAAGCGUGGGUAUCGAACAGGAUUGGAUACCCGUGUAGUC